rnacentral:misc_RNA from 1 species
UCCCGUCCCCGCAGCCGACCCCGGGUGUAUGGUGUGUGAUUCUCUCAUUCUUUGAUGACAUAUGACGUCGCCGGCAGAGGCGCAGGUAAACAGUGCUCCCUCUCGACAUCCACACACGGGCACUCCCUCCCAGCAGAUGCUCUCGACGCCGGCAGGGCAUCCCGUAUCCCAACCAGACACAUCACAGGCAGCGCCUGAAGCGCCCGUGUGGCGGCCCACGACGGUGCCGUGGAAGCCGGUGGACACACAGCAGAGCGCAUGCUCAGCCUCACCCGCAUCAACGGACGAUGCAGUCGCCGCACACUCGCCGCAGCGGGAGCGCGACGCCUCGGUGGGUAACCCCAACGAUGAAAGCGGGCGCGUUGUCUGGCAAGCGUUUGGACUCCCCAGGUGGAUGGGACCGCCGGUGCUCACCUCCACGGCCGCCUCGCAAGAAGAAGGCGACAGCCCAACAGCGACAGUGCCAAGCAUGGAGGAGCGUUGGAGCACGUUUCAGCGCCUCGCACAGGCAAGUGAGGCAGCGUUCCGCAGCAUGAGCGAGGCCGCCGCACGCCAGCGCACCGACGCCGCCGCACAUCAGAAAGAAAUUGCCGCCUACCAGGAGAGUCAGCGUGUGCUUUCGCUGCAGCAGCAGCAACGGCUCGACAGCCUGACGCGCGAGUGUGCGCAGCUGCGGCAAACCGAAGCCGGCAUGAAAGAGGUUGUUGCACACCAAGUAGAACGCCUUGUUGCCUUGGAGAACGAGCUUCAGACGACGCGCGUGCAACUAUCGGAGAUCAGGCUCGCUCAUGCGCAGUGCGUCGAGGAGCGCAACAAACUCCAGCAGGCCUGCAAGAUGCACGAGGUUCACACUAACGAACUGCAGGCGUCCCUACGGUUUGCGGACGAAGUGGUGCGCUCGAUGCGGCAGACGGUGGCAGCGUGCGAGCAAGAGAAGAACGAGGCCCUCAUGCAGCAAUACAGCAAAUUCGAGUCCUACCGCAACGACCUCAUCACCGCCUACGACAAGCGCGCCGCGGAGGCGCGAGACGAGUUCGCCCAUCGCGUGGAGUCUCUUCAAGCUGGCAUGCUGGAGACUGUCGCGAAGCGUGAGGAGCAGCUCAAAGCGAGUUGGGAAGAAACGGCGACGAGGAUGCGCCACGAGUACGACGAGCUCGUCAGACUAGGUCAGCAGCGUAGGGCUGCGAUGGACACGGAACUGCGAGAGCGGAAGGAGCAGCUUGAGCGUGACAAGGAAUUCAUGCGAGUACAACAGCGCGAGGAGGCGGACAUGAUGGAGCAGCGCUUUCGUGCACGCGAGGAGACGCUGCUCGAUGACAUCGCUCGCCGCGAGCGCGAGCUGCGUGAGCGAGAAGCAGCCCUGCGCGCCGCUCAGGCGCAACAGGAAGUGGAUGUGCAGAGGCGGCUACAAGUCAGAGAGGCAGAGCUGCGUGCGGCUCACGACGCCGCGCUGAAGCGCAUGGCAGACCAAGCAGCCGCAGAGCGGGAGAAGCUGUCCGAGAACUUCAUGGAGCGACUUCAGCAGCUGUCAAAUGCACACAUGCAGCAGGAGCGGGAGCUGGAGCGAAUGCACCGUGAGAAAGAGCGCGAGAUGGCACAGCGCUAUCGGCUGAGUGGGAUCGACGGCGGUGAUCGUGGCGAGGUCCGCGACCGCAGAGCGACCGAGUAUGCCUUGGCCAGCCCCAGCAUGGCGAAGGAGGCGCUCUUGAAGAAGUUUGAAACGGUCGAGCAACGCCAGCGAGAACGCUCUGACAAACUGCGCUCUGCGUUCUCGGCUCCAGAGAGCGAGCAACAACCUCCGCUAUGAGGGCACGCACUGCGUCAGAGAGCCGGGCGCCUCGCUCUUCGAAGACAGGCGUGGUUGUGGGUGUUGUACUUUUUUCUUUUCCGGUGUCCGUUCUUGCUGAGAAUCACCGUGUGGUUGUGUCUCCACGUCCUGUAGUGCGGCGUCGCUCAGAGUCCCGUACUUGCGUCGGUUCACUCAUAUGUUCGCCCCCACCCCCUCCUUUUGUCAUGCAACGCAUUUGUCUUGCGCGCACAUGGCAAAUGAAGGCAAAAGCGCACCGUCUGAUAGCUGCGUGCUAUCGCCCAGCUUGGGAUCUUCGCAGCAGCGGCGCCAUGGCACGUUUUUUUUUCCUGGCGGCCCACACGCUGGCGGAAGGAGAUGCUACGGCGCAUUUGCCCUUCGCUGCCGUUGGAGUGCGCCUCUGCAGUAGAGACACCUCGCACGCGUCCGCUUCCCACUGCUCUCCUUGUCGUCGGGGUUGAUCCCGUCAUCGUGUUUGUUGCUCAGGAAGGGAAGGUGGGUGGACACUCCCUUCGCGACGCUCUUGUGACGCUCCCAUUCUCCCAUUCUUUUUCCAAUUCUCGUGCGCACGCAAACUUCCGUUCUGCUGGCGGGAAG